UGUCUUCAGGGCGGGGUGUAAGUCCCCACCGGCGGUAAAGUCCGCGAGCGCUUCAAAGGAGAGAUUCUUCGGAAGGCAGCAUGAACCGGUGUAAUUCCGGUACCGACAGUGACAGUCUGGAUGGGAGAAGACG
rnacentral:ncRNA from 1 species